CCUACGGGCGGCUGCAGUGGGGAAUAUUGGACAAUGGGCGAAAGCCUGAUCCAGCCAUGCCGCGUGUGUGAAGAAGGCCUUCGGGUUGUAAAGCACUUUCAGUGGGGAAGAAAGCCUUGGGGCUAAUACCCUCGAGGAAGGACAUCACCCACAGAAGAAGCACCGGCUAACUCCGUGCCAGCAGCCGCGGUAAUACGGAGGGUGCGAGCGUUAAUCGGAAUUACUGGGCGUAAAGCGCGCGUAGGCGGUCUGAUAAGCCGGUUGUGAAAGCCCCGGGCGCAACCUGGGAACGGCAUCCGGAACUGUCAGGCUAGAGUGCAGGAGAGGAAGGUAGAAUUCCCGGUGUAGCGGUGAAAUGCGUAGAGAUCGGGAGGAAUACCAGUGGCGAAGGCGGCCUUCUGGACUGACACUGACGCUGAGGUGCGAAAGCGUGGGUAGCAAACAGGAUUAGAUACCCGGGUAGUC
rnacentral:rRNA from 1 species